rnacentral:rRNA from 1 species
GUACACUCCUGCGGGAGGCAGCAGUGGGGAAUUUUGGACAAUGGGCGAAAGCCUGAUCCAGCAAUGCCGCGUGUGUGAAGAAGGCCUUCGGGUUGUAAAGCACUUUUGUCCGGAAAGAAAUCCUUGGCUCUAAUACAGUCGGGGGAUGACGGUACCGGAAGAAUAAGCACCGGCUAACUACGUGCCAGCAGCCGCGGUAAUACGUAGGGUGCGAGCGUUAAUCGGAAUUACUGGGCGUAAAGCGUGCGCAGGCGGUUUGCUAAGACCGAUGUGAAAUCCCCGGGCUCAACCUGGGAACUGCAUUGGUGACUGGCAGGCUAGAGUAUGGCAGAGGGGGGUAGAAUUCCACGUGUAGCAGUGAAAUGCGUAGAGAUGUGGAGGAAUACCGAUGGCGAAGGCAGCCCCCUGGGCCAAUACUGACGCUCAUGCACGAAAGCGUGGGGAGCAAACAGGAUUAGAUACCCCGGUAGUCCC